ensembl:lncRNA LINC01471 long intergenic non-protein coding RNA 1471
GGUGGGGGACAGAGUGGGUGGGGAGGGGAGCCGCCAUACAGUGGCCAGGACCAGCUUUGCCCAAGUGGUGGCAACCGCAUGACCACAGGAACGAUGGCGUGAGCCCCGUGGCAACCUGGAGGAAGGGCCAAGCCACUGGUGAAUAUGCUGCAAAAAAUAUGCUGGAACUUCUAUGAAUACCACAGGGUGUGAGAAGAAAACAUUAGAACUUCUAUUUUGUACCUGUGUUACUCCACAACAAGAAAGCAAUCAGCUUGAUCAAUGCCUACUGUAAAGACGGCACCGCCCUCCGGAGGUCCUUUCUCAGCCCUGGUGUUCGGACAGCCACAUCCCCUCGCAGCAGGGGGAGGCCUGAAGCAUAGAGGGGCCCAUGCAGGUCUAUUCUGUUUCAGCGAAUUGCCUGGGAAAUAAUCCAGGAUCCAUUUCGUGUGGUCAUCUUGUCUCCCUGGUCCCCUCCAGCCUUUCCUCAUCUUUUGUGACCUGGUCACUCUGGAAGGGCGCUGGCCAGUUAGUCCACAGGAUGGGCCUCCCCUGGGGCUUUUCUGAUGCUUCCUUAUGAUGGCACUGGCAUCCUGAGGGGGAGGACCACAGAGAGGAGGUGCUCCUCAUCACACCACAUGGGGGUCCAUGCACCAGUGCCACUGCUUUCCAGGGCUCUUCACCUUCAUCACUGGUGGAGGUGGCGUCUGCCAAGAAGCAGAAAGUUGAGGCUUAGAAGGUGCACGGCCCUACCUCUUCCGAGGUGCCCCUGCGGGCUGUCUACAGACCAGGCAGCACAUGCCUGAUAGCAGCUGCAUAAGGAAAAGCAGGAGCCAGCUCGUGCACAGUGGCCUCAAGUGUGCACUGGGCAUGUUCUCUGCCUCACCAUCCCUGUGUGACAGAUGAAGCAUGGCAAGCCAGGCUCCAGAGAAGCAUCCUGAGGACCAGUGUUCCUAGGGACCUCAUUCUUCUGACCUCAUUCCUACAACGUUUUGUCACUGCAAAGGAAAUCACCAAGGCCAGCUUGAGAAGCCUCUGCCUGGGUGCGCAGCCCCACAGCCCAGCCUCUGCAGAGUGGGAGGGGAGCCAGGCCCUGCUUGGGUAGCAUUGCCAUGGCAACCUCUCCCCACGCUGCUCCUCGCUGAGACCCGGGCAUCUGUGGCCAUGGCGACUGGGCCUGCCACUGGCACAUCUGCAUAGCAACCAGAGAGGGUGCCGAGCGCAGCUGGGCCCCGCUCAGGAAAACAGGUACACUCAGAGCUUUUAUCAGUCAUUAAGGAGAAGCUGGGAGCCUCUAUGGGGAGAAAGGACAAAGGAUGCAGACAAAAGACUUGGAACCGCAAGUGGCUAAUAAAUCUAUGACAAGUGCCCAACAUUACCAGCGAUCAUAGAAAUGCAAAUGCAAACAACAAUAAGAUACUUAAAGAAAAACAACAACAACUAGUGCAAUUGGCAAGAGAUGAGGCACAAAAGAGAUAGGACCCAGUGUUGGCGGGGGGUGUAGGGAAUGGGGACUCGAACACCCUGCUGGUCUGAGUGCACAUUCAUGGAACAUUUCUGAGAAGGCAAUUUGCAAUCUGUAUCAAAAGCCUUUAAAAUGCACAUACCUUUUGAACCAACAAUUCUAGUUGUAGUAAUUUAUUCCAAGGUAAUAAUUAAGUGAGUAAAGAUUCAGCUCCAAGUGUGUUCCCUGUAGGGGCAAUUAUAAUACAAAAACUUUGAAACAACCACAAUCUGAAAAAAAAAAAAAAAAGAA